GCAGCAGCCGCGGGAAUACAGAGGGUGCGAGCGUUAAUCGGAUUUACUGGGCGUAAAGCGUGCGUAGGCGGCUAAUUGAGUCGGAUGUGAAAUCCCCGAGCUUAACUUGGGAAUUGCAUUCGAUACUGGUUAGCUAGAGUGUGGGAGAGGAUGGUAGAAUUACAGGUGUAGCGGUGAAAUGCGUAGAGAUCUGGAGGAAUACCGAUGGCGAAGGCAGCCAUCUGGCCUAACACUGACGCUGAGGUACGAAAGCAUGGGGAGCAAACAGGAUUAGAGACCCCGGUAGUCCCUGUCUCUUAUAC
rnacentral:rRNA from 1 species